UACGGAGGAUGCGAGCGUUAUCCGGAUUUAUUGGGUUUAAAGGGUGCGCAGGCGGAGGCACAAGUCAGCGGUAAAAUCGCGGGGCUCAACCCCGCUCCGCCGUUGAAACUGUGUCCCUUGAGUGCGCGAAGGGUAGGCGGAAUGCGUGGUGUAGCGGUGAAAUGCAUAGAUAUCGCGCAGAACCCCGAUUGCGAAGGCAGCCUGCCGGCCCCACACUGACGCUGAGGCACGAAGCGUGGGUGAUCGAACGAAGGA
rnacentral:rRNA from 1 species